UUUCCGUAGGUGAACCUGCGGAAGGAUCAUUAUUGUAUAACCAACGUCCGAGCGCUUUCGCUGACCCCAAAAGUCUUGCACGCCCGAGUGCCCCCCCACCCGUCCAUCUCACCCCCCUGUCCACCACCGCGUGCGUCCCCCUUUGUUAUUUUCGGUGCUGGGCUUACGUUUCCACACAAACUUAGCAUUCAGCGACGAAUGUAUUUUUUGUUUUUUCGAUCACGCAAGCAAUACAACUUUCAACAACGGAUCUCUUCUCUCUUCCAUCGAUGAAGACCC
rnacentral:misc_RNA from 1 species